GCUUGCUUCGGCAGGACAUAUACUUAAAUUGGAACGAUACAGAGAAGAUUAGCAUGGCCCCUGAGCAAGGAUGACACGCAAAUUCGUGAAGUGUUCCAUAGUUUU